GAUCGGGUGGGUGGAUUGAGGCAGAAAUAUCUACCUCGUCAGCCCCUCUCUUUCCUUCAUCUCUUCUUCGUCCUAUUCCUCUUCUACAGGCAGCCGCCGGCGCCGCUUCCUCCCUCCCUCUCGGCUGCCUUGUCUCCUCUGCCUCCACCUCCUCCUCCCAUGUCUCCUCACUCGACCUCCCCUGCCUCCUCACCUGACUGGCACAGAUAGGACGAUGUGCAGUCAAAGGGAGAUGGCGGCGCUCGAUCCGAUCUGUAGGAGAGAGAAGAUGAGAGGGAGAGAUAGAAGGAAGGAGAGAAUGGAUGGUGUGGUCUUCAUGACGCGUGUGGAGGAGCAGGAGAGAAGAUGGGAGAGAGAGGGAGAGGAUCUUGAGGAAGAGUAUAGGACAAGGUGAUCUCUCUCUCUCUCUCUCUCAUCUGCCUAGAUUGAUUUCGUUUCCAGGUUAUAAUUUUUACGGGGGGCAAAUGCUUCAGAAAAUCUGUGCUGCAUACUGGAAUCAUGUUGUUCAAGGAAUUCCACAUAUUGAACCUUCAAGAUGACUUGAAAUGGACCUGGACAAUGUGAAUUGGGGCCAGUAUCUAAACACUCUGUUUUGGAACCUCAACUAUUGGGAUUGAAUCAGUAUGCUGGCUGGAGAGGAUUGACGGGGCUGCUCUCAUUUUCGGUUUGCUACUGCUUCCUUGCAUUCUACCGCUUCUCAUUGUUGUCAUAAGAAGAUGAGAUGUUCUUCGGUACGAUGCUCCUGGCGUGUUUGAUGAAAUGUCUAUAAGAUGAUAUGUUACUCAUUCUCUCUUUCCUUCUCGGUUGGUUCUUGGGUCCUCCAUGUCGUUAGCCAUCAAGGUUGGGUUCCUUCCCACUCCCUUGCUCAAUUUUUGCCUACUGAAAGCGAUGUGUGUUGAUGUGUUGGUUUUGACAACAUCCCCGUGUGAUCUUUGUUGGCAUAUCAAACGAGGAUAUUUGAUGGCAUACCUGCUGGAUUUGGACGAUUGGUGUGAUCUCCGUUCAGUUUGUCAUGCUCCUUUGUAUGCAGUCUGCAGAAGCAGCCAAGACGGUGAAGAUCUGCUGCAUAUGAGUUGGCUACGUCCGCGGCCCAACAAUGGUUGUCAUUGCCAUCAAGUGCCCAACAAUUGAGGUGGUGGUUGUCGACAUCUCCAAGCCCCGCAUUCACGCCUGGAACAACGACACCCUCCCGAUCUACGAGCCCGGCCUCGAUGAUGUUGUCAAGGCGUGCAGGGGCAAGAACCUCUUCUUCAGCACCGACGUCGAGAAGCACAUUGCCGAGGCCGACAUCAUCUUUGUCUCGGUGAACACCCCCACCAAGACCCGCAGUUUGGGAGCCGGCAAGGCUGCCGACCUCACCUACUGGGAGAGCGCAGCCCGGAUGAUUGCCGAUGUGUCCAACUCCGACAAGAUCGAUGUUGAUGAGUCCACUGUCCCUGUGAAGACCGCAGAGGCCAUUGAGAAGAUCCUGACCCACAACAACAAGGGCAUCAACUACCAGAUCCUGACCAACCCAGAGUUUCCUUGCCGAGGGCACGGCGACCGACGACCUGUUCAAGCCCGACAGAGUGCUCAUCGGUGGCCGGGAGACCCCCGAGGGCAGGAAGGCUGUCCAGGCCAUCAAGGAGGUGUACGCCUACUGGGUGUCCGAGGAGAACAUCGUCACCACCAACCUGUGGUCUGAUGAGCUCUCCAAGCUCGCUGCCAAUGCCUUCCUGGCAUAGAGGAUCUGCUCCGUGAACGCCAUGUCGGUGCUCUGUGAGGCCACGUGCGUGCUCGUGCUCAUGGUGGUUUCCCAUAUAUCAGCAGCGCGGAGGAGCUGGUAUCCUCAGCCAGAGUUGGGUGUACUUGCGGGCGACCUCACCCUCACCAGUGCAUCUACAGUUUUCUAUCUUCAGGGGGCUGCUCUUUGAUUCAGAGUAAAAUCAAGUUCUUUACCUAUGGAGGAGGUAGAUACUGAUGGAGUGGAUGACAAGGUGUUCUCCAGGUUCUGCAUCAUCUCCAUAUUCUGCAUCAUUAGUGAGCAACUUACCUAGGGAGGAGGUAGAUACUGACUGUGACGCCCCCGAUUCAAUCGUACACUAAUCAUGCACGCAAAUGUGUACGAUCAAGAUCAGGGACUCACGGGAAGAU